rfam:Myotis brandtii contig212193, whole genome shotgun sequence.
AGUGGUUCUCGGGUGAUGCACCCCAGAACCAGAGAGGAGGGAGCCUGAUUCUGGGGUGUGUCACCCAAGAACCACC